AGCAUAUCAAUAAGCGGAGGAAAAGAAACCAACAGGGAUUGCCUUAGUAGCGGCGAGUGAAGCGGCAAAAGCUCAAAUUUGAAAUCUGGCUCUUUCAGAGUCCGAGUUGUAAUUUGAAGAAGGUAUCUUUGGGUCUGGCUCUUGUCUAUGUUUCUUGGAACAGAACGUCACAGAGGGUGAGAAUCCCGUGCGAUGAGAUGAUCCAGGCCUAUGUAAAGUUCCUUCGAAGAGUCGAGUUGUUUGGGAAUGCAGCUCUAAGUGGGUGGUAAAUUCCAUCUAAAGCUAAAUAUUGGCGAGAGACCGAUAGCGAACAAGUACAGUGAUGGAAAGAUGAAAAGAACUUUGAAAAGAGAGUGAAAAAGUACGUGAAAUUGUUGAAAGGGAAGGGCUUGAGAUCAGACUUGGUAUUUUGUAUGUUACUUCUUCGGGGGUGGCCUCUACAGUUUAUCGGGCCAGCAUCAGUUUGGGCGGUAGGAGAAUUGCGUUGGAAUGUGGCACGGCUUCGGUUGUGUGUUAUAGCCUUCGUCGAUACUGCCAGCCUAGACUGAGGACUGCGGUUU
rnacentral:rRNA from 1 species